GAUAAACCUGGUGGUGUCAAAGGGGACCAUGGUAGGGGUCUGUGGCAACACUGGGAGUGGCAAGAGCAGCCUGUUGUCAGCCAUCCUGGAGGAGAUGCACGUGCUGGAGGGCUCAGUGGGGGUGCAUGGAAGCCUGGCCUAUGUCCCCCAGCAGGCCUGGAUCAUCGCGGGCAGCGUCAGGG